rnacentral:rRNA from 1 species
GACUCGAAAGGAUCAUUA